GCCGUUACAACUCCGAGUUGAUUAAACACCGGAUUUUGUUCCACCAACGUCUGUUUGUGUUUCUGGUUAGAGCUUCUAUUGAACAAUUUAUCCAGGCUGUUAUAAAAUAAAGUGGAAUAAAAAGAGAAAACAAAUUCAUUGUAGAGCUGCCAUUAGAGAGUAAUCGUUUGGACUUAUUGGACGGAUCUAUAUUGGAAUACCAUGAUGUGACACCUUGACUGUAGAGUUUCCAUUAGAGGGUAAUCGUUUGGACUAAUUAGACUGCUAUCUUUAUUGGAAUACAAAGAUGUGACACAUGACUCGUUGCUGCAAAUCAGAUAACUUUGCGGUAACAACUCGGAGUUUAUUAAACGCUGGAUGUCUUUCCAAUCACGUCUGUUUUUGUUUCUCGGUAGAGUCUCCACUGGGGGAUAAUACAAUUCGUGAUUAAUAGUGGAAAACCGUGAAUGGUAGAGUUUCCACUGGAGGGUUAUACAAAUCGUGGUUAAUAGUGGAAUACUGUGAACUGUAGAGUUUUCACUGGAGGGUAAUACAAAUCGUGAUUAAUAGUGGAAUACCGUGAAUUGUAGAGCUUGUAUUGGACGGUAAUACUGACUGUGAUCUAUACUGGAAUACCAAGAUGUGACACCUUAUUUGUAGAGCUUCUACUGGAGGGUAAUCCAGGCUGCAAUCUAUAGUGGAAUACCAAGAUGUGACAUCUUAUUUAAUUACCUUGGGCUGAAGAUGGGUUAGAUAUCCUUUUCCACAAAAUGAACAAAACUAUAUUAGAAGGAUGUCUACAACCAAACGGAAAAAGCGUAAGUC